AAACGGAGAAAACAGAGGAGGAGAGUCGUGGAGAGGAGUAUCUGAUCGCUGAGAUUUUUGCUCUGAUGGUUGCUUUAAUGGAGGAGAUGAUUGCUUCAGGAGGUUUGAAGAUCUGCCUAUGCAACCUGUUGUUUCGUUCUGACCAAAUCAUGUACAUCGAGCAUUGCCAACAGAGGAUGGAGAGAUACCGCUGGUGGCGUGCUCUAUGCGUCAGUUGAAGGUCGGCGAUGGUUUGAUCCCAGGAGGCUGACGGCGAGAACCUGCUUCUCCGUGCUAUUGUCGACCAGAUAUGCCACGAAUAGCUACAUGUGAAAAAAAGAUGGUCGCGACUUUCUGGUGCAUUGUUACAGAGAAGACAUGAGGGAUCUGUAGCAAGUCCCCAGCUCAGCAAGCGGUCUCGGGUAGGACAUCGAUUUAGGAGCAGGAGCCAGGAGAGAAAACUGUGCUUAGGAAUACCUUGUCUCAGCCAAACAAUGCUAAACCAGGGGACCAACGGAUUGUGAUGCGUAAGCUCGAGAUGAAGCAUUGCAGUAGUACUUGUGCAUCUGAUCGAGCCGGUGGGAGUAUCCAAUAACCAUCAACGUAGAGGUCUGAGACGGUGGCGAGUCUUGGGAUGCCUAAUCUUGAGUGAGGCUGGAGUUGAAGAAAAUCUGAUAUAUUUCCAUAAGGGGACCAAUUAUCGCUCCAAAAACGAAAAUUGGAGCGAUCGCCAGAUAGAAUUUCUUCAACAAACCAAGCUACCCAUAUUGAACCAGAGCUGAAGAACAAUAGCCAGAUGAGCCUGAUAGAAGUGGCCUUGUUCCAGCUUACAAGAUCCCUGAUGCCUAACCCCCCUUCCUCCUUUGCGUGAACAAUGGUGUCCCAUGCUACACGAGCCGAGUGAUGUCCCUCUAAAGUCCCUUUCCACAGAGAGGGACUCCAAGGUAUCUGAUUGGGAGGGUUCCAUGAGACAGACCUGUUUCCUCAGCAAUUUCCGUAACUUCUGUCUGCGGUAGCCCACAAGUGAAGAAGCAGAUCAUCAGCGAAACAUAGGUGCGUUAGUUUACUAUCCUCGCAGUUUUGAUGGUAUCCAAAUCUUCCUUCUGUCGCUGCGUUGUUGAGGAGAGUAGAUAAGCAGUUCAUUGCAACUACAAACAAGUAAGGAGAUAGGGGAUCUCCUUGACGAAGACCCCUUUUUCUCUUGAAGUACCCUUGGACCGUUCCAUUGUUUCCUACCGAGAAAGAGGCAGUACAAACGCAAGCUUCCAACCAGCGGAUAUACAGUGUAGGUAUGCCCAUGCUAGUCAGACAUGUAAAGAUGAAGUUCCAGCUUAUUGUAUCAAAAGCCUUUGCAAUGUCGACUUUUAUGGCCAUCCGUUUAGCUCCUCUGUUCCGAUGAUAACCGUGGACAAUUUCUGCAGCCAAAACCGUAUUUUCAACAAGAAGGCGUCCCUGCACAAACGCUGUUUGAUUUGGGAGGAUGAGAUCAGGCAAAAGAGGCUUGAGGCGAUGAACCAGCAGCUUAGAGAUAGCCUUAUAGAGGGUGUUACAGCACGAGAUAGGCCUGAAAUCUCCUAUUGCAGAAGCUCCUGGUCUUUUUGGGACAAGGGUUAGGAUGGUGGAGUUUGCAGCUGAGGGGAGAAAAGCUGUUGAAAAAAAAGAUUUGAUUGCAUUUACAGUUUCUGCCCUUAGAAGAUUCCAAGCAGACUUGAAAAAUCCCGAAGACCGGCCCUGGGUUGCAGCGGCGGGGGUGGAAGGGGUUGCAGCGGUGGUGUGGCAGAGCAAGUUGGUGUGGCCGGGGCGAACAAGGAGAUGCAGCGGGGGCAGAGCAAGGAGGUGCGAUGUGGCGGAGCAAAGAGGUGCAGUGUGGCAGAGCAAGGAGGUGAGGCUGCUCUUAGCAAAAAAGGAGGUGAGACGAUGCGGCGUGGCGGGGCAACGACUUUCCCGAUAGUUGUGAAAAAACGGAUCCUAAAAUAUUGAAUUAAGCGAUAAAAACAAAUAGUAAGAAAAUGGAAGAGAAGAGAAGAUCAAAGUAUAAUAAUCUAAAGAAUAUGAAUCAUAAUUCUUCUUGUCGAUGAUCGAUGAUGGGAUGUCACUUUCCACUGCCUUAAGCUUUUUAGGGCAUGAUUAACUCCGGUCACUUAGCCGGAGUUAUUAACUCAUGAUUUGAUAUUUUUUUUUGUUUUUUUUACACUUUUCAACUAAGAGUCGGUUCUUAUAUAUUUUAUUUAAGAAACGGUUCUUAGCUUUUCUUAGUUAAAAUCUAAAAAAAACUAAGAACCGUCGCUUAGCCGAAGCUAACAACCCCCUAACCCCGGUCUCUUAAUGAUGGUCAAAAAAGCUUUACCAUCCACUGAAUUAAGAUCUCAAUUCUUUUCAUCUCAAAUUUUAUUAACUUUCUCUCAAAUUUUUGUUUUCUGAUUUUUCUCUUUCUUUAGACCAUGUCUCCUACGCGAAUCUUAAGGAGGGGACCCAAAUGGUAAAAAAACGGUUCCACAAGUCGCUAAAUAAGAGUCGACUUUAGAGGGUUUUUUCAACUGUUCGCGGAUUCCACCGACACAUGACGAUUCACGAUUGGUUCUUUUAAAAAAAAAAAUUUUCAGACAAAAAAAAUAAAAACAAAAAAUAAGAAACCCAUUAAAGGUUUGUGCGAUAUUCAUGCCCUUAUAUCCAGGGCAACGAGAGUUGAUAUAUACGUUGACAAAAAAAAAGAGUGGAUAUAUACAGUUGGAUUUAUACAAAAUAUUCAGACGGAACCAUGUGUCGUCCUCGGAAUUUCCGAUGAAUACUUGACAAUGUUUAACUUUUUCUUCUUUUUUUCAAUGUUUUUAACCUUAUUCCAAAUAAACUUAAUAUUUGCCAAAUUUCCAUCAAAAUUUGCGACCACUCACCGAGACGAUCGUGGCCUCGUAACGUUCCGAAAAAGUACCGACGAGAAUUUCCGAGAACAUUCUGACCAAACACUUUCACGAGAAACUACCGACGAGAAUUUUCAAAAACAUUCUGACCAAACACUUUCAUCGGAAAUCUCUGGCAAGAUGCCGAGAACAAUUUCCUUUACUCGCUAUAACGUCCCUAAUCUGUCAAUUAUUUACCGUUGACCUCUCUUCUCAGAAGUAGUGGUCGGAGUUCGUGAUGUUUCCUUGUAGCUGCAAGCGCUAUUGAAAUCAAAAGAGCCAGGUGUCCGGAUUGGGAGAAAACCUAAAACGUGCUGGUAAAAGCUCAUGGACUCCUCCACAGAUCGACAUAGAAGAGAUACGUGGUUCAGAGACUUGAGAUGAAGGGUUUCCCGUAUUUUUUUUCCAUUAUUACCGACAAGCAAACCAAAACCAAGAAUGAUCAAAAAGCAAAACAGAACCGAACAGAAGAGUUUCCUUCUCUUGAAGAUACGUUAUGAACGACGACAACCUUUGAAAAUUUAGCUCCUUAUCCUUCUUCGACCAUAUCAUCAUCACGUUUUAAUUUACCACUUGAGAUUCAUAGAAUAAUGCAUCCAUGAUGCCAUACCGUCAUUCAACUUUGGACCUACAACUUCUCAAAUAAUUCUACCAUAUAAACACAUGUCCUUGUGAAUUUUCGAUAAAACAACAAUUCAAAUAAAACAUUGUUUGCUUUCUCAUUUAUCAU